rnacentral:rRNA from 1 species
UACGAGGGGGGCGAGCGUUGUUCGGAAUUAUUGGGCGUAAAGGGCGCGUAGGCGGUCGGAUAAGUCUUGUGUGAAAUCUUCGGGCUCAACUCGAAGUCUGCACAGGAAACUAUCUGGCUUGAGUGUGGGAGAGGUGAGUGGAAUUCCCGGUGUAGCAGUGAAAUGCGUAGAGAUCGGGAGGAACACCAGUGGCGAAGGCGGCUACCUGGACCAGCAUUGACACUCAAGCACGAAAGCGUGGGGAGCAAACAGG